rnacentral:rRNA from 1 species
AGAGUUUGAUCAUGGCUCAGGACGAACGCUGGCGGCGUGCUUAACACAUGCAAGUCGAACGAAUCUCCCUUCAUGAGAGCUUGCUCGAUUGAAGGAUUCAGAUUAGUGGCGAACGGGUGAGUAACGCGUGGGUAACCUACCUAAGAGACAUGGAUAACUCUGAGAAAUUGGAGCCAAUACUGGAUAUUAUCCUUUUAACAUAAGUUAUUUGGAUGAAAGGUCCGCCGCUCUUAGAUGGGCCCGCGUCUGAUUAGCUUGUUGGUAAGGUAAUUGCUUACCAAGGCGACGAUCGGUAGCCGGCCUGAGAGGGUGUACGGCCACACUGGGACUGAGACACGGCCCAGACUCCUACGGGAGGCAGCAGUGGGGAAUAUUGCGCAAUGGGCGAAAGCCUGACGCAGCAACGCCGCGUGGACGAUGAAGGCCUUCGGGUUGUAAAGUCCUGUCAGGAGGGACGAAGUCUCGCUUGCGAGAUGACGGUACCUCCAGAGGAAGCCCCGGCUAAUUACGUGCCAGCAGCCGCGGUAAUACGUAGGGGGCAAGCGUUGUCCGGAUUUAUUGGGCGUAAAGAGCACGUAGGCGGUUUACCAGGUCAGGUGUGAAAACUUCGGGCUUAACCCGGAGCCUGCACUUGAAACCGGUAGACUAGAGUCUAGGAGAGGAGAGUGGAAUUCCCAGUGUAGCGGUGAAAUGCGCAGAUAUUGGGAAGAACACCGGUGGCGAAGGCGGCUCUCUGGACUGCGACUGACGCUGAGGUGCGAAAGCUAGGGUAGCAAACAGGAUUAGAUACCCUGGUAGUCCUAGCUGUAAACGAUGGGCACUAGGUGUAGGUGGUUAUCGACGCUAUCUGUGCCGCAGCUAACGCAUUAAGUGCCCCGCCUGGGGAGUACGGCCGCAAGGCUAAACUCAAAUGAAUUGACGG